CCUACGGGAGGCAGCAGUGAGGAAUAUUGGUCAAUGGGCGCAAGCCUGAACCAGCCAUGUCGCGUGCAGGAAGACUGCCCUAUGGGUUGUAAACUGCUUUUAUAGUAGAAGAAACACAUCUACGAGUAGAUGUCUGCCAGUAUACUAUGAAUAAGCAUCGGCUAACUCCGUGCCAGCAGCCGCGGUAAUACGGAGGAUGCAAGCGUUAUCCGGAUUUAUUGGGUUUAAAGGGUGCGUAGGUGGGCUUAUAAGUCAGCGGUGAAAUCCCCCGGCUCAACCAGGGAAUUGCCGUUGAUACUGUUAGCCUUGAGUACAGUUGAAGUGGGCGGAAUGUAGCAUGUAGCGGUGAAAUGCAUAGAUAUGCUACAGAACACCAAUAGCGAAGGCAGCUCACUAAGUUGUAACUGACACUAAUGCACGAAAGCGUGGGGAUCAAACAGGAUUAGAUACCCUGGUAGUCCACGCUGUAAACGAUGAUCACUCGUUGUUGGCGAUAUACAGUCAGCGACUGAACGAAAGUAUUAAGUGAUCCACCUGGGGAGUACGAUCGCAAGGUUGAAACUCAAAUGAAUUGACGG
rnacentral:rRNA from 1 species